GCCUUUGUAGCUUAAUGGUAAAGCAAAUCACUGUUAAUGAUUUGAUUCAUGUUCGAUUCAUGACUGAGGCU